CAACACAGCCAGAUGCAGUAG
rnacentral:miRNA from 1 species